UAUAUAAACGGUGACAAAAUAAUAAUGACGCAUGAUUAAAGUGUUAUAAUUUUAAAUUUUAAGUGAGAAAAAUAAAGAUUAUUUAAGGGCAAGAGAGUAGCAAUGCAAAUAGAUUCGGGUUGGUGGAGCUCCCGCCUCAUAUCCGCCUUGAAUAAGGUGAUAAGUAGAAACUAAAAAUAUAUAUCUAUAUGUAAAAAAAUAACACGUUUUGAAUCAGCCUCGAUUUGCCACAGAUGCGGAACAGGGGACGAAUGACUCUUCCUUUGAUCUGUCCUAAUCUACCAACACUCAUCCAAAAACCCACCCCUGCUCCAACAAAUAUUUUACAUAUGAUUACUGAAUAUUUCAAGGCAUGUUAAAUCUAGUAUUUUCUAUUCUAACUAUUACAAUUUUUUUUAAAAAAAAAUUAAAAAAAUUAUCUUAUUCUUGAAUCCUUUUAU
rnacentral:lncRNA from 1 species